AACGACAACAAUAACAACAUUAAUGUAACAUAAGUAAUGAUGUUUGACGUACCAUAUAUGUAAAGAAGAAGUGUAAUAAAUAAUCCGGGUCUUUCAUUUAAGCAAAUAUCGAACGAGAUUCCUAAACACAUAUCAUCUUCGUAUUGAGGAUGAUAUGUGUUUAGGACUAUUCGUUAGGAUUUUGUCUGUGUUAUUUUUAGGCAAGUGAAACAUAUUGCUAAAAGCUAAGCUCUCUCUCUCUCUC
rnacentral:lncRNA from 1 species